CUUGCCUGUAGUUGCUUAUCCGGACUUUUGUCCGGUGCACUCUUCUGCGGGCAGGCCAGCAUCAGUUUAGGCGGUUGGAUAAAGGUCUCUAUCACGUACCUCCCUUCGGGGUUGGCCUUAUAGGGGAGACGACAUGCAACCAGCCUGAACUGAGGUCCGCGCAUCUGCUAGGAUGCUGGCGUAAUGGCUGUAAGCGGCCCGUCUUGAAACACGGACCAAGGAGUCUAACAUCUAUGCGAGUGUUUGGGUGUCAAGCCCAGACGCGUAAUGAAAGUGAACGGAGGUGGGAACCUUUUAGGUGCACCAUCGACCGAUCCUGAUGUCUUCGGAUGGAUUUGAGUAAGAGCAUGGCUGUUGGGACCCGAAAGAUGGUGAACUAUGCUUGAAUAGGGUGAAGCCAGAGGAAACUCUGGUGGAGGCUCGCAGCGGUUCUGACGUGCAAAUCGAUCGUCAAAUUUGGGCAUAGGGGCGAAAGACUAAUCGAACUAUCUAGUAGCUGGUUCCUGCCGAAGUUUCCCUCAGGAUAGCAGUAACGUAUUCAGUUUUAUGAGGUAAAGCGAAUGAUUAGAGGCCUGGGGGUUGAAACAACCUUCACCUAUUCUCAAACUUUAAAUAUGUAAGAAGUCCUUGUUACUUGAUUGAACGUGGACACUUGAAUGUACCGUUACUAGUGGGCCAUUUUUGGUAAGCAGAACUGGCGAUGCGGGAUGAACCGAACGCGGGGUUAAGGUGUCAGAAUAUACGCUCAUCAGACACCACAAAAGGUGUUGGUUCAUCUAC
rnacentral:rRNA from 1 species